rnacentral:misc_RNA from 1 species
GAUUGAAUGGUCCGGUGAAGUGUUCGGAUCGCGGCGACGUGGGCGGUCCUGCUGCCGGCGACGUCGCGAGAAGUCCACUGAACCUUAUCAUUUAGAGGAAGGAGAAGUCGUAACAAGGUUUCCGUAGGUGAACCUGCGGAAGGAUCAUUGUCGAAACCUGCAAGGCAGAACGACCCGUGGACCGUUUGUGGCUCCUCAUUCUCGAGCGGCGGGGCCUUCGUGCCCAUCCGCUCGUCGCCCCAGGGCUAGGGACGUGGGCCGAGCCCACGCUCGCUAUCCUUGGGUGCAUACAACAAACCCCGGCGCAGAUCGCGCCAAGGAACAAGAAAGAAAGAGAGACGCGCUCCCAUGGUCCCGGAUACGGUGCGCCACGGGCAGCGUCGUCGAUGUGAGUAUUCGAAACGACUCUCGGCAACGGAUAUCUCGGCUCUCGCAUCGAUGAAGAACGUAGCGAAAUGCGAUACUUGGUGUGAAUUGCAGAAUCCCGUGAACCAUCGAGUUUUUGAACGCAAGUUGCGCCCGAAGCCGUCUGGCCGAGGGCACGUCUGCCUGGGUGUCAAGAAACGUCGCCAAACGUCCCUCUCCGCACCCUCCCCACCCGAGGGGGGUGAGCAUCGAGGGCGGGCGGAUAUUGGCCUCCCGUGCGCGAUUGCUCGCGGUUGGCCCAAAAGAGAGUACCCCGGCGAGGCAGCCACGGCGUGCGGUGGUAGAAAGCGUAUGCUCUCCUCGGACACCGUCGUGGGCCGACCUCGUGGGGGUAGGCAGGAAAGACUAACUAAGGCCCCGAUGCGAAGUCGUGUUUCGCGAAGCGACCCCAGGUCAGGCGGGAGCACCCGCUGAGUUUAAGCAUAUCAAUAAGCGGAGGAAAAGAAACUUACGAGGAUUCCCCUAGUAACGGCGAGCGAACCGGGAACAGCCCAGCUUGAGAAUCGGAUGCCCUCGGCGUUCGAAUUGUAGUCUGGAGAAGCG